rnacentral:tRNA from 1 species
GCGUCCAUAGCUCAAUUGGAUAGAGCGUCCGUCUUCGGAACGGAAGGUUGCAAGUUCGAUUCUUGCUGGACGCA